rnacentral:rRNA from 1 species
GACGAACGCUGGCGGCGUGCCUAAUACAUGCAAGUCGAACGAAGCUGUUUUAACUGGUGCUUGCACCGACUUAAACAACUGAGUGGCGAACGGGUGAGUAACACGUGGGUAACCUGCCCCAAAGCGGGGGAUAACAUUUGGAAACAGAUGCUAAUACCGCAUAACCACAGAAACCACAUGGUUUCUGUGUCAAAGAUGGUUUCGGCUAUCACUUUGGGAUGGACCCGCGGCGUAUUAGCUAGUUGGUAAGGUAAUGGCUUACCAAGGCAAUGAUACGUAGCCGAACUGUGAGGUUGAGCGGCCACAUUGGGACUGAGACACGGACCAAACUCCUACGGGAGGCAGCAGUAGGGAAUCUUCCACAAUGGACGAAAGUCUGAUGGAGCAACGCCGAGUGAGUGAAGAAGGUUUUCGGAUCGUAAAACUCUGUUGUCAGAGAAGAACGUGUGCGAGAGUAACUGUUCGUGCAGUGACGGUAUCUGGCCAGAAAGCCACGGCUAACUACGUGCCAGCAGCCGCCGUAA